UAGAUAUGAGGCAUUUUCUCGUUUUACGGUAUAAAACUAUCCAAAUCAAUUAAAUUUUGGUUAAAAAUUUCUUUAAACUAUUUAGAACAAGAUCUAUACUCUCGAUCUUAAUUACAAAAUUUCUAUCAUCGAUUUUUAGAGGAUAUUCAUUUUCAGCCAUUCAUUUUUAUGUCCACCUGAUAGACAAGAGAACAAUAUCGGAAAAGUUUGAAAUUUGAUUUCUAGACACCUCAAGUGGUAUAGAUCAUUUUNUGGAAUUAUAUAUAUAUAUAUAUAUAUAUAUAUAUAUAUAUAUAUAUAUAUAUAUAUAGAGUUGAGCUGAAAUGCAUAGCAAACGGACUUCGUUGCCACCCAUUUGUUUUUGAUGUGCCUUCAAAUCGAAGAUCGGUAUCGUUGAACAUGAUCUAUACCACUUGUAGUAUCUAGAAACCAAAUUUUAAAUCUUUUCAACAUCAUUGACCUAAUGAUCAAAGGGUUUCAAAAUUUGUAAUUUUAAUGGUAGAUAUGAGGCAUUUUCGCGUUUUACGGUAUAAAACUAUCAAAAUCAAUUAAAUUUUGGUUAAAAAUUUCUUUAAACUAUUUAAAACAAGAUCUAUACUCUCGAUCUUGAUUCCAAAAUUCCUAUCAUCGAUUUUUAGAGGAUAUUCAUUUUCAGCCAUUUAUUUUUAUGUCCACUUGAUGGACAAGAGAACAAUAUCGGAAAAGUUUGAAGUUUGAUUUCUAGACACCUCAAGUGGUAUAGAUCAUUUUCAACGGUGCCGAUCAUCGAUUUGGA
rnacentral:lncRNA from 1 species